UCCCGAGCGUUGUUCGGAUUCAUUGGGCGUAAAGGGUGCGUAGGCGGUCUUCUAAGUUUGAUGUGAAAUCCCGGGGCUCAACCCUGGAAUUGCAUUGAAUACUGGAGGACUAGAGUACCGGAGAGGAAACUGGAAUUUACGGUGUAGCAGUGAAAUGCGUAGAGAUCGUAAGGAAGACCAGUGGCGAAGGCGAGUUUCUGGACGGUAACUGACGCUGAGGCACGAAGGCCAGGGGAGCAAACGGG
rnacentral:rRNA from 1 species